GAGUUUGAUCCUGGCUCAGGACGAACGCUGGCGGCGUGCCUAAUACAUGCAAGUAGAACGCUGAAGAGAGGAGCUUGCUCUUCUUGGAUGAGUUGCGAACGGGUGAGUAACGCGUAGGUAACCUGCCUUGUAGCGGGGGAUAACUAUUGGAAACGAUAGCUAAUACCGCAUAACAAUAGGUGACACAUGUCAUUUAUUUGAAAGGGGCAAUUGCUCCACUACAAGAUGGACCUGCGUUGUAUUAGCUAGUAGGUGAGGUAACGGCUCACCUAGGCGACGAUACAUAGCCGACCUGAGAGGGUGAUCGGCCAUACUGGGACUGAGACACGGCCCAGACUCCUACGGGAGGCAGCAGUAGGGAAUCUUCGGCAAUGGGGGCAACCCUGACCGAGCAACGCCGCGUGAGUGAAGAAGGUUUUCGGAUCGUAAAGCUCUGUUGUAAGUCAAGAACGAGUGUGAGAGUGGAAAGUUCACACUGUGACGGUAGCUUACCAGAAAGGGACGGCUAACUACGUGCCAGCAGCCGCGGUAAUACGUAGGUCCCGAGCGUUGUCCGGAUUUAUUGGGCGUAAAGCGAGCGCAGGCGGUUUGAUAAGUCUGAAGUUAAAGGCUGUGGCUCAACCAUAGUUCGCUUUGGAAACUGUCAAACUUGAGUGCAGAAGGGGAGAGUGGAAUUCCAUGUGUAGCGGUGAAAUGCGUAGAUAUAUGGAGGAACACCGGUGGCGAAAGCGGCUCUCUGGUCUGUAACUGACGCUGAGGCUCGAAAGCGUGGGGAGCGAACAGGAUUAGAUACCCUGGUAGUCCACGCCGUAAACGAUGAGUGCUAGGUGUUGGAUCCUUUCCGGGAUUCAGUGCCGCAGCUAACGCAUUAAGCACUCCGCCUGGGGAGUACGACCGCAAGGUUGAAACUCAAAGGAAUUGACGGGGGCCCGCACAAGCGGUGGAGCAUGUGGUUUAAUUCGAAGCAACGCGAAGAACCUUACCAGGUCUUGACAUCCCGAUGCUAUUUCUAGAGAUAGAAAGUUACUUCGGUACAUCGGUGACAGGUGGUGCAUGGUUGUCGUCAGCUCGUGUCGUGAGAUGUUGGGUUAAGUCCCGCAACGAGCGCAACCCCUAUUGUUAGUUGCCAUCAUUCAGUUGGGCACUCUAGCGAGACUGCCGGUAAUAAACCGGAGGAAGGUGGGGAUGACGUCAAAUCAUCAUGCCCCUUAUGACCUGGGCUACACACGUGCUACAAUGGUUGGUACAACGAGUUGCGAGUCGGUGACGGCAAGCUAAUCUCUUAAAGCCAAUCUCAGUUCGGAUUGUAGGCUGCAACUCGCCUACAUGAAGUCGGAAUCGCUAGUAAUCGCGGAUCAGCACGCCGCGGUGAAUACGUUCCCGGGCCUUGUACACACCGCCCGUC
rnacentral:rRNA from 1 species